CCUUCGAUAGCUCAGUUGGUAGAGCGGAGGACUGUAGCGGAUACAUGGAAAUCCUUAGGUCGCUGGUUCGAAUCCGGCUCGAAGGA
rfam:Larimichthys crocea isolate SSNF unplaced genomic scaffold scaffold86, whole genome shotgun sequence.